UCCUUGCCUCCUUGAACAGCCGCAACUCUCUGCUAGGGUUAGCCAUCAACCUUCUUCAAGCUAGCUCAAGCUAGGUUUUCACUCCACGACAGUUGUGCUCACUGUGUGCGUAUCGAAGUAUUCCGCUAGCCCUUUUCCAGAGGUGAGAACUCCCCGAAAUCAUCAGGGUGAUGGAGGUUCUGCUGCAUAGUCUGCUUGGAUUGGAUCUAAAACUUUUUGGGCUUUCUUUAUGGGCUAUGGCCCAUGUACUAGUCUAUCUUUUAAUUCCCUAUUUUGAUUAUGUUGCACUUUGUUUCUAGUUUGGUUUUUGGGUACCGUGGUAUGCCUUGGAUUAUUGUAAGGAGUUAAGUUUAA